rnacentral:rRNA from 1 species
UACGUAGGGUGCAAGCGUUAAUCGGAAUUACUGGGCGUAAAGCGUGCGCAGGCGGCUAUGCAAGACAGAUGUGAAAUCCCCGGGCUCAACCUGGGAACUGCAUUUGUGACUGCAUGGCUAGAGUACGGUAGAGGGGGAUGGAAUUCCGCGUGUAGCAGUGAAAUGCGUAGAUAUGCGGAGGAACACCGAUGGCGAAGGCAAUCCCCUGGACCUGUACUGACGCUCAGGCACGAAAGCGUGGGGAGCAAACAGG